AAUUUUUAAAAUUAACAUCAACAGUAUAUUUCCCAAAAUUAUCCACCUAAUCAACACCAAAUAACAUAAAAUCCGUAAACCUAUCUAAAUUCUCUAUACUAACCACCUAAUCUAUCCUAAACUAACCAAAUUAGAGAGAAAUUAGAGAGGCUUACCAUUGCUACGAAAUUGAGAGGAAGUGGAGAGGGUGUAGAGAGGAAAGAAAGAGUGAGCGCUCGGGGGUAUAUAUAAGAUUACAUAUCGUCGCAAAUUCCUCGUAAGCUUACGACGAAAUAGCGAGCAAUUACAAAGGCCCGUGUUUUUCUGUACGAGGAAAUUGCGAGGAAUCACAAAGACCCAUGUUUUUAUAUACGAGGUAUUAAUGACGAUUUUGCUUACGUGGAAUUAACGAGCCUUGCUUUCCAAUAAAUAUACCCACAACUCUCAUUCUCAAACCACACACAAACUCCCAAAUCACACCCUAUCUCAAAUCACAUUCCUCAGCAAAAUCCUAUUCAAAUUAUAAAUAUUUGAAAAAAAAGGAAAAUGAGAAGAUAUUAGAAUUCAUGUGGACGAGACUUACGUAUUAUAAUUGCUGGAAGUCUUGCCACAUGUGAAUCUGGUUCCUUUCUCCUUUUUCUAUUUUUGCUAGUUUUCAC
rnacentral:lncRNA from 1 species